rnacentral:rRNA from 1 species
UACGUAGGGGGCUAGCGUUGUCCGGAAUCAUUGGGCGUAAAGCGCGUGUAGGCGGUCCGGUAAGUCCGCUGUGAAAGUCGGGGGGCUCAACCCUCGAAUGCCGGUGGAUACUGUCGGGCUAGAGUGCGGAAGAGGCGAGUGGAAUUCCUGGUGUAGCGGUGAAAUGCGCAGAUAUCAGGGAAGGAACCGACCUAGUUGGCGAAGGCAGCGUCCGGCUGGGUAC